AGCCCUCGUAGUGUAAUGGACAGCAUACAAGACUUCUAAUCUUAUGGAGUGGGUUCGAAUCCCAUCGGGGUUU